rnacentral:snRNA from 1 species
GUCAUUGUGCUUGGGGCAAUGAUGCAGCUAGUCUGGCUCUAAACAAGGCGACACAUCUAUUGCUAGCUAGUUGAAAACUAUUCUCAAAACCCCUUUCGGGUUAGGCUCACCCUUGGCCUUUGAGAUUUUCUAAAAUGGUUAAAGCCA